rnacentral:rRNA from 1 species
CCCUUAGAUGGUCUGGGCGGCACGCGCGCUACAAUGAUGCAUUCAAAAAGUCUUCUGACCUUAGAAGGUUGGGUAUUCUCCAAAGUGCGUCGUGAUGGGAAUAGUUUAUUGCAAUUUUUAAUCUUGAACGAGGAAUUCCUAGUAAGUACAGGUCAUCAACUUGUGUUGAUUACGUCCCUGCCCUUUGUACACACCGCCCGUCGCUCCUACUGAUUGAGUGUCUCGGUGAAUUCUUUGAUCUUCUGUCGAUUCAGUUUGCUGAUCCGACGGUGGAAAGUUGAAUGAACUUCGUCACUUAGAGGAAGGAGAAGUCGUAACA